CCUCUCUCUCUGUCUCUCUCUCUCCAGCCCCGCUAUCUGCAGGAGUCACACUGCAGGUCCCGCGACUCCCCAGUUGGAGGAGUUCAUUGAGGGGACCUGAUGGCCAGUUGCCCCGCGAGUUGAACCCGGGCAACCGGAGCCCCAACCCACCUUCCCUUGAUCCGUGGAGUGUGUAUCCCGCUUGCCCUCGUGCUCUAUAAGUGCCCAAGGACGCAGUUUUGAGAUAGCAAUGCUGUGUUGAAACCUUCUGGACGGUAUUCGUGACUCAGUUAAAAAGCCUCUCUAUAAACUUGAUUUCUGGUGGGCAGGUAGGAGAUCAGCUUUUUCGGCUGCCCAAGACAGGCUUCCUAUGUAAAUCCUCUGCCACCUACCAAUCUGGAGUGGCCAGCUCCGAAGGUUUCUCCGGGCACUCCACACUAGGGGCGGUUUCAGAUUACACGCGCCAGCUCCACAAGCCCUCCACACUAAGUUAGCUACUUGCCUGUGUCAGAGGGUCAGCAGCCACAGGGGAGUGAUUCCGACGGGGGAAGAUCGGGAGAGGUCCAGGUGUGCUUUCCACCUUCAGUGCCCACGCUUCUUAAUUUGCUGCAACGAGUACAGUGUCCUGAACACUUUGUUUUCCCUCUCGACCUUGCACACAAAAACAGCCCUUCUCUUGGAGGGGGAUGGAAACCCAGAGCAAGGUGGGGGCCAGACGGUUGGCCAACAUGAGUCCUCCAUUCACUCGUCUAGCACUUCCUGUCCUCAGAGAAAAAUAAGAUCAAGACCCGGUACCUGCCUUUAUACAAUCUAAUGGCAGAGGAGAGAUCUACAAAUACUUGCAGCCGCCAAGCGGUGCGUGGUGCCAUGGCUUGCUCUGCACCUAGCUGGCACCGGCCCUCCCAAGUUACCCGGUCCUCACUGGGGCAGCGCUGAGCACGUGUCAUGGUAUUCACAAUUACUGGGCACUUUUUCAUUAGAGGCGACAUCAGGAGAGAAAUAUUUUCCUUGCCUGUGCUUCCUCAACAUGUCCAGGGGACUGCAAAAAAAGUUAAAAAGCUCUAGAAGCACAUUUUAAACGAAUUAAAAGUCCUAUCAGUGACCUUUUAACUUAUGCUAUAUAAGGGUCAGGUUAUUGGGGAAGGUGACAGAGGCAGAAGCCUGAAAGAAUCUCAGAGAAGGAGGAGGACCACCGUUCUUACCUUGGAGACUCAUGCUGUUGGACACCCCCAUCCCGGUCACGCCACUGCCGACGGCCAGCCCUGAUGGGAACAGUCACGUGCCAGGGACAGAGGAAGCUGGGGUAACAGGAGGGUCCUCGGCAGGGAGACCCCUGUGAAGCUGGGGGGCCUGCAGCACUGGAGGACACCACCACCCAAGGACAAGUCUGGAGUCAUUCUUGGGGAGGUCACAGCUCAGAGUUUGCUUCUCUGUUGCUUCCAGAGCCAGGAUGCAGACUCCCGAGACCUCACUAAUGGAGCCAGAACUUGCGUCUGCGCCCCGAGCCACCCACCUGGCAGUGCCUGAUGGGAGGAGGCCUGUGUGCAGUGACCUGUUGACCGUUGACCGCUGGAGCAGGGCUUUUUCGGUGCAGUCCCAGGCGUGCCGCCCCUCGGUGACACACUUGCCGCCAGCCUCUUCGGUGACUGUGAGGACAAAACACCCUUCCAAAUUCAAAGUCCUCCAGCAGGAAUCCCUGCCCAUUCUUAAAAAAUCCAUGCUGUGUUCUCCGAGGGGACUUUUUAGCCAGUACUUUUUUUUUUUUUUUUUUAGUAUUGUCCCAAAGUUAAAACUUACGUGAUUUAUUAGGCUGAUCAGGCUGGGAGUGCUUCUCUGACAAGAAUCUUGUUUUAGCCCUGGCUGGGGUGGCUCAUUGGAUUGAGUGCUGGCCUGGGAGCCAACGGUCUAGAUAAAUAAGUAAAAAAUACUCUUUAAAAUAAAUUUUUAAAAGAUUUUAUUUAUUUAUUUUUAGAGAGACGGGAAGGGAGGAAGAAAGGGAGAGAAACAUCGAUGUGCUAGAGGUACAUCCAUCGGUUGCUUCUAGUAUACCCCCAACUGGGGACAUGGCCUGCAACCCAGGCAUGUGCCCUGACUGGGGAUUGAACUGGGGACCUUUGGUUCACAAGCCAACACUCAAUCCACUGAGCCACACCAGCCAGGGCUAAAAAAAAAAAAAAAAAUUUAAAAAUUUAAAAAAGAAUCUUGCUUUAAAUGUUGUUUUUGAAACUACAUUGCAACAGAAUAAGCAAGUCAUCUGAUAAAGGACUAAUUGUGCAAGAAGUGCCUGACCAAAUUUUAUCAGAUUUUUAAAAAAUUGAGGUAUAUAGCCUGGCUGGCGUAGCUCAGUGGAUUGAGCGCGGGGCUGUGAACCAAAGUGUCGCAGGUUCGAUUCCCAGUCAG